rnacentral:rRNA from 1 species
ACGAACUGUUUUAGCGGCGGACGGGUGAGUAACGCGUGAGCAACCUUUCCCAGACAGGGGAAUAACACACCGAAAGGUGUACUAAUACCGCAUAAGACCACGGUUUCACAUGGAACUGAGGUAAAAGAUUUAUCGGUUUGGGGUGGGCUCGCGUCCGAUUAGGUAGUUGGUGAGGUAACGGCCCACCAAGCCGACGAUCGGUAGCCGACCUGAGAGGGUGAUCGGCCACAUUGGGACUGAGACACGGCCCAAACUCCUACGGGAGGCAGCAGUGGGAAUAUUGGGCAAUGGAGGAAACUCUGACCCAGCAACGCCGCGUGGAGGAAGAAGGUUUUCGGAUCGUAAACUCCUGUCCUUGGAGACGAGUAGAAGACGGUAUCCAAGGAGGAAGCCCCGGCUAACUACGUGCCAGCAGCCGCGGUAAUACGUAGGGGGCAAGCGUUGUCCGGAAUAAUUGGGCGUAAAGGGCGCGUAGGCGGCUCGGUAAGUCUGGAGUGAAAGUCCUGCUUUUAAGGUGGGAAUUGCUUUGGAUACUGUCGGGCUUGAGUGCAGGAGAGGUUAGUGGAAUUCCCAGUGUAGCGGUGAAAUGCGUAGAGAUUGGGAGGAACACCAGUGGCGAAGGCGACUAACUGGACUGUAACUGACGCUGAGGCGCGAAAGUGUGGGGAGCAAACAGGAUUAGAUACCCUGGUAGUCCACACUGUAAACGAUGAAUGCUAGGUGUAGGGGGUAUCGACCCCUUCUGUGCCGCAGUCAACACAAUAAGCAUUCCGCCUGGGGAGUACGGCCGCAAGGUUGAAACUCAAAGGAAUUGACGGGGGCCCGCACAAGCAGUGGAGUAU